rnacentral:lncRNA from 1 species
GCAGUUCUGGGCGGUUCUGUACGCCCCUCAUUUUCCGGCCCAUCUUUCCCACUAAACACGGUUGCUACAAAAUUGGGACGUGGGUAAACUGCAGUUGCCAACCGAUCUUAUAUAACAUAUUCGCCUCCAUACAUGAUAUCAUAUAUACACAGAAACACAAAGAUGGCACCGUUAUUCAAUCGCGAUCUCAAACCUACAUUCAAGCGUUCUUCAUUCGCGAUCUGGUUUGAUCAGAGAAAUUAGGUUAGAUCAGAGAAAUUUGAAACCGUCUGGAGCAGAAGAAACCAAAAUGGCUCUUUCCAAAGCCAAGGCAAGGCUGAAUUAGUGGUUGUGUCACUUGCUUAUUGUUAUUGCUUUUGAUAAGAAGUCGAAACAGAGAUGGAAGAAUAUGAACAAGAGCAAGAGCAAGACAUACCUAAUGAUAAUGGAUUGAAAUCAGCGGGGGACAAUAGUUUUGGGCUGGAUUUCUCUUUACCAGUAGUUAAAUGAUACCUAGCAAUCACACUCUCCGUGUAGACUUCCAUGGUCUUUUAUGAGAAUUCUGGGUUGCAAAAAGUGUAUGCCACAGUGUGGUAUUGUCAGGAAAAGCAAGUGUUGGAGCUGCUGCACUACUAAAAAGGGCGGUUAGUAAAUUUAAUUUAACCUUACGUUCAAUUCGCUUAGCAUGAUAAGCAGAAGUGGAAAAUGGACGGGUUGGGCCCUCUUGCUGAAGUGGUGCUUGAAGCACUGGAGUCAGGGGACAGUUUCUCUGGAUUUUUUUUCUUACUUAUGCUUUAAACAUUUAAAAUAACCAGAAGUUGCAUGUUCAUUGCUUUUAAGAUAUUCAAUAUUUUUUCAAAAAUUAUGUACUCGAUAUUUAAACUGUCUCUUUAUAAUUCUUUUUCAUAAAGCAUUGUGAUACUUGAUUCCAUGUUCAGCACUUGCUUC